GAUGAAGAACGUAGCGAAAUGCGAUAAGUAAUGUGAAUUGCAGAAUUCAGUGAAUCAUCGAAUCUUUGAACGCACAUUGCGCCCUCUGGCAUUCCGGGGGGCAUGCCUGUCCGAGCGUCAUUGCUGCCCUCAAGCACGGCUUGUGUGUUGGGCCUCCGUCCUCCUCCCGGGGGACGGGCCCGAAAGGCAGCGGCGGCACCGCGUCCGGUCCUCGAGCGUAUGGGGCUUCGUCACCCGCUCUUGUAGGCCCGGCCGGCGCUUGCCGACACAUCAAUCUUUUUUCCAGGUUGACCUCGGAUCAGGUAGGGAUACCCGCUGAACUUAAGCAUAUCAAUAAGCGGAGGA
rnacentral:misc_RNA from 1 species